rnacentral:rRNA from 1 species
AUUGAACGCUGGCGGCAUGCCUUACACAUGCAAGUCGAACGGUAACAGGGAGCUUGCUCCGCUGACGAGUGGCGAACGGGUGAGUAAUGUAUCGGAACGUACCUUUCAGUGGGGGAUAACGUAGCGAAAGUUACGCUAAUACCGCAUAUUCUGUGAGCAGGAAAGCAGGGGAUCGCAAGACCUUGCGCUGAUUGAGCGGCCGAUAUCAGAUUAGCUAGUUGGUGAGGUAAAGGCUCACCAAGGCGACGAUCUGUAGCGGGUCUGAGAGGAUGAUCCGCCACACUGGAACUGAGACACGGUCCAGACUCCUACGGGAGGCAGCAGUGGGGAAUUUUGGACAAUGGGGGCAACCCUGAUCCAGCCAUGCCGCGUGAGUGAAGAAGGCC